rnacentral:rRNA from 1 species
GACGAACGCUGGCGGCGUGCUUAACACAUGCAAGUCGAACGGAAAGGCCCUGCUUGCAGGGUACUCGAGUGGCGAACGGGUGAGUAACACGUGGGUGAUCUGCCCUGCACUUCGGGAUAAGCCUGGGAAACUGGGUCUAAUACCGGAUAGGAGCCAUUUUUAGUGUGAUGGUUGGAAAGUUUUUUCGGUGUAGGAUGAGCUCGCGGCCUAUCAGCUUGUUGGUGGGGUAAUGGCCUACCAAGGCGGCGACGGGUAGCCGGCCUGAGAGGGUGGACGGCCACAGUGGGACUGAGAGACGGCCCAGACUCCGACGGGAGGCAGCAGUGGGGAAUAUUGCACAAUGGGCGCAAGCCUGAUGCAGCGACGCCGCGGGGGGGAUGACGGCCUUCGGGUUGUAAACUCCUUUCGCUAGGGACGAAGCUUUUUGUGACGGUACCUAGAUAAGAAGCACCGGCUAACUACGUG